AUUGAACGCUGGCGGCAGGCCUAACACAUGCAAGUCGAGCGAGCGGCGGACGGGUGAGUAAUGUCUGGGAAACUGCCUGAUGGAGGGGGAUAACUACUGGAAACGGUAGCUAAUACCGCAUACCAUCAGAUGUGCCCAGAUGGGAUUAGCUAGUAGGUGGGGUAACGGCUCACCUAGGCGACGAUCCCUAGCGGGUCUGAGAGGAUGACCAGCCACAUUGGACUUGAGACACGUCCAGGACCCUUCCGGAAGGCAGCAGUGGGGAAUAUUGCACAAGGGGCGCAAGCCUGUUGCAGCCUUGCCGCGUGUGUGAAGAAGGCCUUCGGUUUGUAAAGCAUUUUAAGCGGGGAGGCGUUACCCGCAGAAGAAGCACCGGCUAACUCCGUGCCAGCAGCCGCGGUAAUU
rnacentral:rRNA from 1 species